rnacentral:rRNA from 1 species
UCCGUGAGGGGGAGGUAACAGCUGGAAACGGGAGCUAAGACCGCAUAGGCAUACAUGACGCAUGUCGAGUAUGUUAAAUAUCCUACGGGAUAGCACAGGGAUGGGCUUAUGACGCAUUAGCUAGCUGGUGAGGUAGAGGCUCACCAGGGCGACGAUGCGUAGCCGGCCUGAGAGGGUGGACGGCCACACUGGGACUGAGACACGGCCCAG